rnacentral:lncRNA from 1 species
UCUGGCCCGAUUCUCCCGCGGAACCCUGCUUGCCCACCUUGACGCCUUGCCUGAGCUGUCCUUGAGCACUGCUUGGGUUCUCUUCCCUGUGGCGGGUUUUUGAGAGUACCCGACCCCCUCCUUUUAUCCGCCUUUCCGCGGUAGGGGCUGAGUGUGCUUCCUCGUCUACCCGCGUUCAUCCGUGGGUGAGGACUAUUACUUGAAUACUUGCCCCC